rnacentral:rRNA from 1 species
CGGCGUGCCUAACACAUGCAAGUCGAGCGAUCUCUUCGGAGAAGAGCGGCGGACGGGUGAGUAACGCGUGGGUAACCUGCCUCAUACACAUGGAUAACAUACCGAAAGGUAUGCUAAUACAGGAUAAUAUAAGAGAUUCACAUGGAUUUCUUAUCAAAGCUCCGGCGGUAUGAGAUGGACCCGCGUCUGAUUAGCUAGUUGGUAAGGUAACGGCUUACCAAGGCGACGAUCAGUAGCCGACCUGAGAGGGUGAUCGGCCACAUUGGAACUGAGACACGGUCCAAACUCCUACGGGAGGCAGCAGUGGGGAAUAUUGCACAAUGGGCGAAAGCCUGAUGCAGCAACGCCGCGUGAGUGAUGAAGGCCUUCGGGUCGUAAAACUCUGUCCUCAAGGAAGAUAAUGACGGUACUUGAGGAGGAAGCCCCGGCUAACUACGUGCCAGCCGCCGC